rnacentral:rRNA from 1 species
GACAGAGGGUGCGAACGUUGUUCGGAAUUACUGGGCGUAAAGCGCAUGUAGGCGGCAGCGCAAGUCGGGCGUGAAAUCCCACGGCUCAACCGUGGAAGUGCACUCGAAACUGCGCAGCUAGAGUCCUGGAGAGGAAGGUGGAAUGCUUGGUGUAGAGGUGAAAUUCGUAGAUAUCAAGCGGAACACCGGCGGCGAAGGCGGCCUUCUGGACAGUGACUGACGCUGAGAUGCGAAAGCGUGGGGAGCAAACAGG